UCAGUUCGGAUCGGAGUCUGCAACCCGACUCCCGUGAAGCUGGAUUCGCUAGUAAUCGCGCAUCAGCCAUGGCGCGGUGAAUACGUUCCCGGGCCUUGUACACACCGCCCGUCAAGCCAUGGAAGCCGGGGGUGCCUGAAGUGUGCAGCCGCAAGGAGCGCCCUAAGGUAAAACCGGUGACUGGGGCUAAGUCGUAACAAGGUAAC
rnacentral:rRNA from 1 species